rnacentral:rRNA from 1 species
AUUGAACGCUGGCGGCAGGCCUAACACAUGCAAGUCGAGCGAGCGGCGGACGGGUGAGUAAUGCCUAGGAAUCUGCCUGGUAGUGGGGGAUAACGUCCGGAAACGGGAGCUAAUACCGCAUACCAUCAGAUGUGCCCAGAUGGGAUUAGCUAGUAGGGGGGGGAAUGGCUCACCUAGGCGACGAACCCUAGCUGGUCUGAGAGGAUGACCAGCCACACUGGAACUGAGACACGGCCCAGACUCCUACGGGAGGCAGCAGUGGGGAAUAGUGCACAAUGGGCGCAAGCCUGAUGCAGCCAUGCCGCGUGUAUGAAGAAGGCCUUCGGGUUGUAAAGUACUUUCAGUCGGGAGGCGUUACCGACAGAAGAAGCACCGGCUAACUCCGUGCCAGCCGCCGCGGUAAUAC